rnacentral:snoRNA from 1 species
CUGCGAAUAUUCUUGCUGUUCUGAUUUUAUGAUAGCCAGGACAGGCUAAACAUUUGCUAUAACAAGGCCAUACACGUGUCCCCAGACCUAGUUCUUUCUGUGGGUCUAGUUUUAUAAAUGCUAGUGAUAGAC